rnacentral:rRNA from 1 species
AUUGAACGCUGGCGGCAUGCUUUACACAUGCAAGUCGAACGGGGUGAGGGGGCAACUCUUCAUUCAGUGGCGAACGGGUGAGUAAUGCAUCGGAACGUACCCCGGAGUGGGGGAUAACGCCGCGAAAGCGGCGCUAAUACCGCAUAUGCUCUGAGGAGGAAAGUGGGGGACCUGCGAGGGCCUCACGCUCUGGGAGCGGCCGAUGUCCGAUUAGCUUGUUGGUGAGGUAAAAGCUCACCAAGGCGAUGAUCAGUAGCUGGUCUGAGAGGACGAUCAGCCACACUGGGACUGAGACACGGCCCAGACUCCUACGGGAGGCAGCAGUGGGGAAUUUUGGACAAUGGGGGCAACCCUGAUCCAGCAAUGCCGCGUGAGUGAAGAAGGCCUUCGGGUUGUAAAGCUCUUUUGUCAGGGAAGAAACAGCAGCUCUAACACAGUCUGCGAAUGACGGUACCUGAAGAAUAAGCACCGGCUAACUACGUGCCAGCAGCCGCCGUAAAAC